AUUAUUAUUAUUAUUGUUAUUGUUUCUAUCAUUUGUAAUCCAACCUGCAUGACCUUGAUGAUGAAAUUGUUUUUUUCUCCAUGUAUUAAUUGGUGGCCAACCAAGAAGUUUGAGACUUUCUUCCUCAAAAUCCUUGUGACAAGUGGCAUUAAAAGGUUUCUUGUUUCUUCCAUGGUUAUCAUCAUCUUCAUUUGGUUGGCCAUUCCAUAUGAACAAAGACAACGUCUUACGUUCAACUACUCCUUCAUCCUCAUGAAAGGCCUCUUCAAAACAUCGCUUUUGCUUCAUCUUCAUCUUCAUAUCGGAGAAGCUAUCAUCAAAACCAUUCUUCCUAUAACUCGUGAUUGCAUUGAUGGGAAAAUGGUUACAAUUUGAAAUAGCAAGGCCAAGCUCUAGUUCCAUAUCACAAAAGUUGUAUUAAUUAAAUGAGUUGAUCAAAAGAAAAGGGGUAGCA
rnacentral:misc_RNA from 1 species